rnacentral:lncRNA from 1 species
AAACAAGUGAAGAAUCAAGAGACAAGGAUCAACAAACCAUUCAGAAUUUCAGAGGUGAAACAAGUAAAGAGUCAAGAGGCAAGGAUAAACAAACCAUUUAGAAUUUCAGAGGUGAAACAAGUAAAGAGUCAAGAGGAAAGGAUAAGCACGAUAUCAGACUACUCAGAAGAUUAUCCAUUAACAAUUUGAGAGGUAAAGCAAGUAAAGAGUCAAGAGGCAGGGAUGAGCAUGAUAUCAGACUACUCAGAAUAUUAUAGAAGACAAAUGAAUUCAAGCGAGUAUACCAAAGGGAACCAAAAGAAUAUACCAGGCAAAGAUGACUAUUCAAACACUUUGAGAUGAGAAUGUAGAAAACAAGCAAAAUUUAAAGAAAACAGCAAUUAAACAAG